CAUUCCCAUUGCUCCAGGUACCCUGCAGUCUCGACCAAGAAAAAACGGGUGUAGGAAUUAAACAGAUUGAUUUGAAUUACUCAGUGAAGACUGUACGUGGAUUCAUGUCCAUCCUGCAAGGAAAAGAGCGCUCCUGAACCCGUCCAGCUGUCUUCACAUUUCAGGAACAACAGGAAUCUAGGGUUGAAACCAAAUCCACCUUUGAGGAGAACAACAG